rnacentral:rRNA from 1 species
UACGUAGGGCGCAAGCGUUGUCCGGAAUUAUUGGGCGUAAAGAGCUCGUAGGCGGCUUGUCACGUCGGGUGUGAAAGCCCGGGGCUUAACCCCGGGUCUGCAUUCGAUACGGGCUAGCUAGAGUGUGGUAGGGGAGAUCGGAAUUCCUGGUGUAGCGGUGAAAUGCGCAGAUAUCAGGAGGAACACCAGCGGCGAAGGCGGCACUCUGGGCUGGUACUGACGCUGAGGAGCGAAAGCGUGGGUAGCGAACAGG